rnacentral:rRNA from 1 species
GAUCAUGGCUCAGGAUGAACGCUGGCGGCGUGCUUAACACAUGCAAAGUCGAACGGAGCUUAGAAGGAAGCUUGCUUUCAUUUAAGCUUAGUGGCGGACGGGUGAGUAACGCGUGAGCAACCUGCCCUCGAGUGGGGAAUAACAUCGAGGAAUCGGUGCUAAUACCGCAUAAUGUCGAGAGACCGCAUGAUCUUUCGACCAAAGGAUUUAUUCGCUUGAGGAUGGGCUCGCGUCCGAUUAGCUAGUUGGUGAGGUAACGGCCCACCAAGGCUUCGAUCGGUAGCCGAACUGAGAGGUUGAUCGGCCACAUUGGGACUGAGACACGGCCCAGACUCCUACGGGAGGCAGCAGUGGGGAAUAUUGGGCAAUGGGCGAAAGCCUGACCCAGCAACGCCGCGUGAAGGAUGAAGGUCUUCGGAUUGUAAACUUCUUUGAUUGGGGAAGAAUAAAUGACCUACCCAAAGAACAAGCCACGGCUAACUACGUGCCAGCAGCAGC